UCGAACAACCAACCUUCGGAUCAAGAUAUCUCGAGCUAUACACGAUCGUUUCUUGUGAUUCUUGGCUUGUUGAGUUCAUAAGGAAGUUCUGAACAAUUCUCCAGAAGGGAUCGAGGCGUGAGGUUGUAAUUUUCACGUCGAUUUUGGAGCUCGCCGGAUUCUGGAAAUUUUCCACCACCACCGAAGCUUUUGAUAGGUAUAUCUCGAGUUGUAGUGCAUCGUUUUGAGUGAUUCUUAAACUGGUAAACUCACCUUGAGUUUCUUAACAACUCUCUAGAAGGAAUCGAAGCCUGAAAUUGAAGUUUUGACGUCGAAAUCAAGCCUUGCCGGAUUCUGCAAAAUUCUGGAAUUUUUCCGACCACCGAAGCUUUCGAUCGGUAUAUCUCGAGCUACAGACCAUAUUUUUCUGUGAUUCUUGAACCAGUGAGUUCUUCUUGAGUUUCUUAACAACUCUUCAGAAGGAAUCGAAGCCUUAAAUUGACGUUUUUACGUCGAAUUGGAGCUCGCCGUUUUCUGCAGUUUCUCGCCGGUUUCUGGAAAAUUCCGGCCACCUUCAUACUGUUCAAGGUGAUCGACGGUUUGAUUUGGCGGACGAUUCGUGAAAUUGUAUUUUGAGCUGUUAAGAAGACGCAGCGGGAAUUUAGAGCGGGAAAUCCUACAGGUCAGGAGAACCAGGACGGUGAUCGGGCUGCUUAGAGUAGUGUUAUGUGAAUUACAGCAUUAUAUUGUGAGGUUUGUUAUGCUCAUUUAGAGCUUUGCAAUUUUACUUUGUAAGAGUGAAUUGUAAUAAUUAACUCGAGGUUUUCGAGUUUUUGUGUUGAGUGGCGAGUGGUGUGUUUGUUUGUGAGAAAAAAAUUCAGAACGUAUUUGUAUUAAUUGUUUAUUCAUGUUUCGGAUUUGAAUUGGUUAUUCAAAAUUCGGGGCGUGACAGUUUGGUAUCAGAGCGUAAGGUACAUAUUUGGUGAUAAUCAGUACCUCCCGAGUGAUGGCCCGUCUGCAGCGGAUCCCCAUCAUAUACUCUUCGGUACUGGUAUAAUCAUUGGGUAUGUCUUAGUAUGGGGUCUAGACAACGUGUAAGUCCGUAGGACGGUAGAGUUGUCUACUAAGUUCGUAUUAGAAUAAGUUUAGUUUCCGCGAGUUGUGAUCUUCGAGGAAUAGGAACCUCUGGAUUUAACUCUGAUGAGUCGGUGAGGUAGAGGUCGAGUCUGAUGUAGGGACAGGAUCUUUCUAUGGAGACAGUUGAGGAUGAGGUGGAGGCAUUAGAGGUUGAGUUGCCUAGUCUACCUGUAGUUGAUGUGAUGGAUGUUAUUCUUGGGUUGAAAUGGUGAAAGAGAUUAAGACCCUAGGAAUAGUUGAAAAGAGAAUUGAUCUCACCAACUCAAGAUGAUAGGAGUGUGAGAGAUUAUGAGACAGAAUUCUCAAGACUAUAUUGGUGUACGAGUGUAGUGAUGUAAUUUGGGAGAUACUUAUGUUACCUUUAAUAAGGGUAGUAUGUUAAGUGAUCAUGGCAUAGGUUGACUUUGUAAGUGAAGUGGUGGAGUUUGUGUAGCUUCUUUGAGUUAUAACCUUUGAGGAAUGGCAACCUUUGGAUUAAACUCUGGUGGAGUUAUUGAGGAUGGUUUCCACGAAAAACAGUAUCCUUAUGUGCAUUGUAGUCGUUGGUUGUUGGGGUCAUGGUGUUUGACCAAUGCUUGUAUCUAAAGUCGUUACGAGUAUUUGACUAGUAGUUGUGAUACUUUCCAUUAGUUGGAUAUGCAGAUGUUUUGAGUUGAAGAAUACUUAGCAGUUAUUGGUUGCUUAGUGAUGGAAUUGUGUUAUAAUGGAGCAUUCAUUCAUGCUCAGUUGUUUGGUGUUUAGGAUAGCUACUAUAUAUUAGCUAAAUGUCGGGGUGUGGUUUGAGGUCUGCGGAUGGUAUUGGAAAUUAUUGUGGAGUGCUGCUUCACUGACUAUUGUUGAGUAGUGAUGCAUAAUUCGUUGUUACUAUGAUGGAUUUUGUGUAUGGUUGACUUAUGGAAAGAUUGAUAUGACCUCGUGAUAGGAUUGACUGUGAAGAGACAUUGUGUUGAUGUAUGAGCUUAGGUAAUAACGUUGUUUUCAACUCUAGGAGUGCUAGGGUUGUAUAACUAAUUUAUGAGGCCAGAUACUGUUGUGAGGACAGAUUAUGGAUUAUGACGUGGUUAGUGUGAAGUGCUAUAAUCACAGAAUUUUGACCACUAGAUGUUGACUUACCACCAAAUGAGCAGUGAGGUGAUUCGUGGGUGAGAUACUGAGUGUU